rnacentral:rRNA from 1 species
UACGGAGGAGCUAGCGUUAUUCGGAAUUACUGGGCGUAAAGCGCACGUAGGCGGCUUUGUAAGUUAGAGGUGAAAGCCUGGAGCUCAACUCCAGAAUUGCCUUUAAGACUGCAUCGCUUGAAUCCAGGAGAGGUGAGUGGAAUUCCGAGUGUAGAGGUGAAAUUCGUAGAUAUUACGGAAGAACACCAGUGGCGAAGGCGGCUCACUGGCCCGGUACUGACGCUGAGGUGCGAAAGCGUGGGGAGCA